AUUUAUUCAGAGCUGCCCGUGGGGUUCCAUCCUACAGCUGGGCUGGGAGUCAUGGAGCACAGUUUCAUUCCUCUUCUCGUAGGACUCCAUCACAUCCCUUCCUUCCUUGCCACCUUGGGGCGUCAAGCUAACAGUGAUAUGCUCACACAAACGGGUGUGUCCUUAUGCACUUCUCUGCAAAGUGGUAGGGAUUACUGUCUCCCAAAGUGGCUCUUAGAAAUGCUAGGGAUCACCUUGCUGGCUGCAGCUCAGCUGCCCACAGACAGCAGUCUGUCUUUGUCUGAAAGAUGAGACUGAAUAUACAAAUGGACAAUGGCCAGGCUGUAUAUAGAACUAGAACUCUGACCCACAAGCUGCACUGACCUGCGCAGGAAACCAACCUCUUAUCUACAAAAAUCAGCCCAGGGAACCAGUCCACUAUAGUCAGACUUGCAAAGAGCCAGACUGCUAUCUCUAGAAACAAUCCAGAAGGGUAAACAAACAUUUCUGUAACGAUUGGUCCAAAAUGGCCAGGACUUGAUUAAUAACUGACAGCUUCCCUAAUUUGUGUUCUGUUUUUAACCAAGGACCAAUUAGAGAAAGCUGAAUAUGCACCUCCAACCAAUCGCCCAGGACACCCCACUUCUAGUUAGCCUGUCUCCAGCAUUCCCAUGCCUGCAGCCUCCAUUCAGGACACACCUGAAGUCUUCUCAUUUUUGACUAUGAAACUUUCCUGCUCUUCUGCCUGCCUUGGAGUGACAGCAGUUGACUCCUUUGCAUUAGCAAGCUCUGAAUAAAUAAAUAGCCCUUGCUUUUUUCAUUUGGCUGGUGUUUUUUUAUUUCCACAAAGAUUUCCUUCUCAUGUAAGUUGCAGUUUUUGGUGAUCUGUGCUAAGGCCUGAGAAUGGACUACUUUAUUUUUCUCCUGUUUUCUAUUACAGACCAUUUAAAAAUUUUUUUCUGAACAUGGGGAACAACUGAUUUCUUUCUUAAACCCUGCUUUCAAGGAUCUGACAUUCGUGGCUGAGCUCGGACCGGCUGCACCCAUGACCCAGAUGAACAUGUUGGCUUUGAGGGUGCUGGCAUCGCAGGUGUGGUGUUUCUUCAGCACACAGAGGUUAUGUGUAUACUUUUAGGAUUGUAUUCACUCAGGAAGAAAAGAAGUGAAACAGAAAGGCCAUAGCUCAGUAGGACACGGUUGGAUAAAAGAAAGGCUAUUUCAAAAAGUGACAUAUAUUAUGUCAUUCCUUUUACUGCAGAGAUGCAUUCAAACCAAUUGAUACUUGAACGAAUUUUUCUUAAUUCAUUAAGAACUUUUAGAAAAAAGGAAGAAAAUGACGGUGGGACCUGUGUCCUCUGGGAGCUGUAGUUCUGGGAAGCCUGUUCCAGGAUGCAAAUGAUGGAGACAAAUUUGAAACCUGUUUCCUCCGGAUAGCAUUCACUCAGGAAAAGCCGAUUGAGAUGUUUAAGUGGUCCUUUUCUUCUUGAAAAAUCCCAGCAGUUUGCCACCAGGCCUGGGGGCUUUAUUAUCCUAAGUGACUUUGCCGCCUAUAAAUCAAAGCCAUAAGUAGCCAAAGGGAAUGAGUUAACCAGAUCCCUGAAAAGAAUGUAACCAAUGUUUCUUCAAUUAUUAGCAGAACGAUUGACUCCCAUCUGGUCAGGGCACCUGUCAACCUGGCCUGCAGCCACGUUACCCACAAUUCCACCACUCAGAGCCUGUUUCCCUUGCAUUAUAAUUUUUACCCUGGUGCAUGUUCUAAGAUGUCAGCCCACCCCAAGACUUUUCACGCAUCCUAGGAUUUCCCUUCCAUAUAGACCCAAAUGGUCUGGCAAUGGAACUUGGCCUUUGUAGUGAAUACUCCAAAUGAUUUGCCUGCUCUGCCCAAGCCCACUUUCCUGGGAUGUCUGCUCAGGCCUGGGGGAUCACUAUCUGAGCAAUAUUCCUUGUGCCCUGCCUCUCUUGUCCCAUCUUAUUGGAUCAGAGGAAACUAUCACUUGGGUUUAGGUUCCAUUGUAAGUAACAGAAACUCCCCCAAAUAGUUGUGUAAACUAGAUGGGCAUAUAUUUCUCUCUUACGUAAAAGAAGCCUGGAUGUAGGCAGUCCAGGGCUGGGGUAGGGACUUCAUCAGUGACCCAGGCUCUU
ensembl:lncRNA